AAUGGCAUAUGAUGGACAUUCUUAUCCUACACACUGAAUGCAAUGUGUGGACCAAUACUCCGCUUAUUAUCUGAUGCCACU
rnacentral:snoRNA from 1 species